rnacentral:rRNA from 1 species
GAUGAACGCUGGCGGCGUGCCUAAUACAUGCAAGUCGAGCGAACAGAUAAGGAGCUUGCUCCUUUGACGUUAGCGGCGGACGGGUGAGUAACACGUGGGUAACCUACCUAUAAGACUGGAAUAACUCCGGGAAACCGGGGCUAAUGCCGGAUAACAUUUAGAACCGCAUGGUUCUAAAGUGAAAGAUGGUUUUGCUAUCACUUAUAGAUGGACCCGCGCCGUAUUAGCUAGUUGGUAAGGUAACGGCUUACCAAGGCAACGAUACGUAGCCGACCUGAGAGGGUGAUCGGCCACACGGGAACUGAGACACGGUCCAGACUCCUACGGGAGGCAGCAGUAGGGAAUCUUACGCAAUGGGCGAAAGCCUGACGGAGCAACGCCGCGUGAGUGAUGAAGGUCUUCGGAUCGUAAAGCUCUGUUAUUAGGGAAGAACAAAUGUGUAAGUAACUGUGCACGUCUUGACGGUACCUAAUGAGAAAGCCACGGCUAACUACGUG